rnacentral:rRNA from 1 species
UACGUAGGUGGCGAGCGUUGUCCGGAUUUACUGGGCGUAAAGAGCGCGCAGGCGGUCGUUCAAGUCGAGUGUGAAAGCCCCCGGCUCAACUGGGGAGGGUCAUUCGAUACUGAUCGACUUGAAGGCAGGAGAGGGAAGUGGAAUUCCCGGUGUAGUGGUGAAAUGCGUAGAUAUCGGGAGGAACACCAGUGGCGAAGGCGACUUCCUGGCCUGUUCUUGACGCUGAGGCGCGAAAGCUAGGGGAGCAAACGGG